rnacentral:rRNA from 1 species
CAGCAGCCACGGGAAUACGAAGGGUGCGAGCGUUAAUCGGAAUUACUGGGCGUAAAGCAUGCGCAGGCGGUUGUGUAAGACAGGUGUGAAAUCCCCGGGCUUAACCUGGGAACUGCGCUUGUGACUGCACAGCUAGAGUAUGGCAGAGGGGGGUGGAAUUCCACGUGUAGCAGUGAAAUGCGUAGAGAUGUGGAGGAACACCGAUGGCGAAGGCAGCCCCCUGGGCCAAUACUGACGCUCAUGCACGAAAGCGUGGGGAGCAAACAGGAUUAGAUACCCCAGUAGUCCCUGUCUCUUAUAC